ensembl:lncRNA
AUGUCCUCUUCUUGCUCAACCUCCAGUGAUUCUGCGGUUGGGACAAGCUCGCCAACCUCCAACAUGGCGUCCACAUGCAGACAUGGGGAAACCUUUGACGCAACUUCCAGGUACGAAGUCGGAGCUUCUCUGAGUCCCGUCAGCGUACACCUCCUCAAAGUCUUUGAAUUCCUUCUCACCUUGUCGUUUAUGAUUUAUUUAUUCACUUUCCUCUUAUACUUUUAUCUGCCUUUGUUUCUGGCUGUUGCCUUCAAAGCCUUUUUGCAUUUAACAAUGCCUUUUAUGUUUUUUUUGCCGUGUUUGAUCUCUGUUCGACAUUAAUAAAGCUUUAUUACAGCCUUUCUCUGCUGAUCUACAUAUAUUUUUUUAAUUUUCUUUUUUACAGAUUUUCUUUAUUCCAUUCCUAAAAUGUGAGACUCGAUCAUUUUGAUGGUAACUAAAGGUCACAUAAAGACAUUUCUACUCUCCAAAUAUCAUCAUGUUCCAGCCGUUAGCCGUGGGUGCUGCCCAAAAUGAGGCGCCAUGCAUGCAGGGAAUUCUGCCUAUCGGGAAUGCUGGUCUCCUGGAGCUCAUCUUCCCCACUUCCAGCUCCUCUUUGUCCAAAAAUCCCCCCCCAAGCCCCAGAGCUCUGCAGGAACUCCGCCGAUAGCUGCUGGUGGCUUUAAGCCUCUCCCCUUCGUUCUAUUGCUCCAUCUUUCCAUCCCUCCGUCUUUUCUUUACAACCUUUAUCUCCUCUCAAGCUCUAUCACAGGCCUUCCCUUCACACCUCUCUUUUUUCCCCUUUCCAGGUCGUCAUUCUCUCCUCUGGCCUUCUGCAGACCUUUUUUUUUUUUGCCUUAACUUAAACUCUCAAGCGUCUCCUGGAGCUACCCGACAGCUCAUCCUCCUCUCCUCUGGUCCCCGAAUGCCUUUAUUAUAACGCGCUCAUAUUCCUCAUCUGUAACCUUAUUGCAGACCCUCCCUGAUGUCUGUCCACGGCUGCUCCAUCAUCUCCAAGUGUAUUUCACAAACUCCGCAUUAGAUCUCGCCUCAGGAAUCUCACCUUCCACUUAUCCUCCACCUUUGACAGUUUUCCAGUUAUUGACUUUCAUCUUCCAACUCCAGACUGAUCUAAAGUAUAUUACAAAAAUCUCUCUCUUUUUCUGUCACGCCUGACGCAAUAAUAAUAUAACUGCAUCUCCCCUGCAACGCACAAAUUCAAUGACACACUCUUUGGCUCUGCUUCUGUCGACACUAAAUGGGAUCUCCUCCUUUUUGCUCGUCGUUUUUAUUUAGAAAAGGGCCCCGAUUUCCUUCACUCACCUUCCCUUAAGGCUGACAAUGUUACUUGAUUUUGUCAGGCACGUUGAGGGUCAACUGUAGUUGGAAAACAUAUUAAAGUCCUGCAUUAGUCAUGAAGCAUCACUGAUUUCUCCUUCUCUCUUUACAAAACUCAGUUUUUCCUUAUGACUCCGGCACCCCUUGAUUUCCUUUUCCUGUUCGCUUCGCUGCUGGUCUUUCUGAAACUAAGCCGCCACUUUCCCAAACCGUCUGAACAUUAUGGCCGAUAUCUCAAAGGAGGAAUCUCAGAGGUGCUGUGCUGCACACAACUCAGUUUCUGUUGUUUCUGGCUCGCCUACUAAUUUAAAACAAAUUUAAGACCUACUUUCUGUUAAAAAUGUCCCAAUUAUGUCUCCACGCAUCUGAAAAUGUUGGGAAGACAUUUUCUUUGGGUGGACGAAACCAUUGAGGGUAACGUUUGGACUGACUGAACCAAAUCCCCUGAAUAAUUUUCACUUUGUGUAUUUUCUUUGGGGGUUUUGUCUUCUGGCUCUGAUUUUGACAGUCAUAUUUGUGUACUUUGACCCAUUUCCUGGACUGUACCAUAUGUUCUCCUCCCCUCUGACUUACUGCAACUGUUCCUACCUGGUUUGGGGUUUGGCUCUUAUGUGGCACCUUGACUGUGUUCCCAUAGGGACGGAGAACUUCUGCUGUCUGCUCUGCUGAAGCUCCACAAUGUAGAGUUUAACCCUUGUGCUAUCAUAGAUGACCCCACCCUUACAUUGACGUGUUCUCCCUACCAUGACAAAGGUGGAUAAAGGUGGAAAGAUUUCAUGUAAUCCAUGGACACCAGUGAAGAUCACAAAUCAUUGAAGAAAAAAGGUUCAGAGCACUGUCUAGUGGGUCUAGAUGACCCACUCCCAAUGUUUAAGUGCUGAUAGCACAGGGGUUACAGCUUCAAUCCAAACUGCCCUUAACCCUUUAACUGCUCUUCAACCAGACAGUAGAGCAAAGUUAGGAAACGGAUUAAAAACUUUGAUUGUGUCUUUUACUCCCCCACGCCGACAGGCAGCAGAAAAAACAAAGAAAAACACUUUUCAAAUUUGAUUUUGUCUUGGUUGGGUGGUUGAAGGGUUAUGGGUUGGUACAGACUUUGUGUGGGGUAAAAAAAAAAAGGGCAAACCUGUACAAGGCACGUAGACCACUCAGUGAAAAAUAUUUAUGCACAUUUUUUUUCCUACGGGCAUGCUACGGACGCCUAUGAGAUUUAAUCACUCAACCACAGCAACAGUCAUUGCAACUUCCAUUAACCUUAUGGAUUCUUUACACUGUCCACGAACACGAUAAUGGUACGUUCCAUAACACGGGUGGGAUUAUAUAAAUUGGUUUUAUUCCAGUCAGUUUCAAGCAAUCUGAACUCUUUUUGUUAAAGUUAAUAUUUAAGAGUUCAUCACAUCAUGUACUGUAUGCAAAAGAGCUAAUAUGUCUAUUUAUGAUUAAGAGCAGUAACUAAAUAUUUACUAGUACGUGUGGGCGUGUCUUUUUUCCAAUCAAUUUUAUGAGUAAUUAUCCAAUGUUUGAUAGAUCUUUGUAUCAGUGACAUGCAGGUGAGCCUGUGCCUUAAAAAAAUGUUAAUUGAAUAGAAUGAGUAUAUUUUUUUAUUAUUACAAAUAAAAAUCAAAUAUUAAUUUUUGGACAUGUCUAUUCUAGGAUUUCUUUUUUCUGUGUGGGUUUUCAACGUUUCUUUGGUUAAAAAGUAGCAAAUUUCCUGUUCAAAUACAAGAGAAAGUGGCAGGUGAGGCACAGCCAGCCCCUACCUCACCUGCCCUGAACUACAGCUGGCGCAUUCAUUGUCUUUACUGUUUUGGUCUCUCUAUCGUCAUGUAAGCCAUUUAAAAAAAUAUUACUGUAUUUAUCUAUUUCCCGCUAACUGUCUUAUCCACUAAAAAUGCGCAUUAGAAAUACACCAGGUGGGGCGUGCAGUACGUCUGCCUAAGGGCAGGGGGCGCUGGGGAUCCCAGACAAUGUGAGAAUGCAGCUAAAGAAUAACAGAAUAAGUGGUAGCAAGUCAAGUGCUGGCAUCCAGAUGUUCUUUAAUAUUGUUUAGCAUCAUUUUCUGAAUUGAUGACAUCGUGUCUAAACUCAGGAAUUUGUGGAGAAGUGUCUCUCUGGGGGUGGUCACCAUGGAGACCGAGAGACUUUUGAAACUGAAGGAAGAAAAAGACAAACAGGUUAUCCAUAAGAAGAAGCGGCACACAGACUUCAUUUAGAAGUAAAAGUGAGUCAAAGAUAACAAUUUUGGUGAUUUUUAAAUUUUUUUUAUUUAUGACAAGUGUCGAAAAUGAAAUGGUUAACACUUUAACUUUUGCUAAUCAAACGGUGAAUAAGCUACUCUGCAGGGUUCACGCUUGUAAAUCUGACUGACGACGACAGUGCUUCGCUGCUCUGCAUAUAUAUUUUAUUUUGUUUUAUACUAUUUUUGCUUAGAUUGUUUAAAAUUAAAACCAUUUUCAAAUCCAAAUUUUCAUGACAUGUCUUGAGGUGGACGUCGCCUGCAGCAUUUGCAUGGGUGCAGUGGAGAACAAAUUCUCAUUAACAACAAGCCAAAUCGCUUUAGAUUCUAAUUCAUCGAACACUCGAACCCUCAUUCCAGGAUUCGGGCCGGUCCAGAACAGACAUGUUUGGAGCCGUCUCUGUUUGGAUGCUGCUGCUUUUUGUUUCUAUUCCUGCAAUUCAUUUAAUUGAUUUGUUCUAAAUAAUAAAAAGCCAUCAGGUUAAAGCGACAUGUCGGUCCCAGUUUUUUUCCUGCAGACUGUUGCAUUCCUCCGUGGUCGCUCUGUUCUUGAUUUCUGUCAGCCUCCACUCUCAGCAAAACUGUCAGCAAAUAACAAGGAAAAGACAAACUAGAUUUUUCCACACUGGUAGUUUAAACACGGAGGACGUUACCGCUUUAUUUCUGCGGUCACCCUAAAGGAGAAGAUGCGUUUGUGUGACUCUGUCACUUUGGUUAAGAGAUUUCUGCUCGCUGCACUCAUCGGAAAGUUGGUGUUUUUCCUCUUGCUGAUUGAUUUGUCAAACCUUUUCCCACCGGCCUCAUAACGCAGCUCUUUUCCAGAACUUACAGUCUCCUGAGACUCCAACAAAAGUGGCGAAUGCAAAAGAGAAACAUAAAAUCCUGCAGUAAAAAACCAGUUGACUGGAUUGUGGUUCAAACUGCAGUAGCUGGAGGGCCUGCAGAGAACACAGACAACCACUUUGACACGCACAAAGGCCAGUAAAGACAUUACGGUCUUGAUGCACGGCUGGCUUCUGUUCUCCAAGACGUGCAGAACAUUUCCACCAAACAGAACGUCUUGUUCGGUGGCUUUGCUCCUCCAGCAGCUCCGGUAAACAUGCGUGGCUCUUCUGUAGAGUUUUAAGCGUUACAUCAAUGUGACUGCUGACAUCCUCCUGAGCAAACAAGCUGUCAGCGGAUAACGCAGCGCCUCACACCUACCGGUAUGUACCUGGAGGGAAGAUUCGCCCCACAGGCUCUCGAAUGCAUCAAAAUGAAGGAAAUAAACACGGCUUGUAGCGCGAUGAGAGAGAAACAUAAAGACACCCCAUCAAGGAUGAUUGACACCCCUUCAUGUAAUGACAUCCCAUCACCUUGUAGGAAGUCAUUUAAAUACAUAUAUGGUGCUUUUUUCCCCUCCACUUUUAGUGUCAUAUAAUUAAAGGAGAAAAAUAAAGAUUAAUACGUUUUUUUAUAUGAUUUUAAAAAUGUUUGGAGAUAGAUAGUUUGGACUUUUUCGAGCUUAUCAUGCAUGCAAAUAAUAAAUUAGGGUCCAUUAGUCUGUAUUUUAGACUUAAUCCUACGUAAAUCACACAGAAUUCCUACUUUUU